AAUGGACCUCUGGCUGGCUCACAGGCCAAAUCCAGUUUAUUGCAGCAACUUAACAAGAUUGGGAUCUAAUUUUAUGUUUGCAAGUAAAAUUUAGAUAUAACCAUUUCUUUUUACCUCACUAAGCCCUGGUUAUUAAAAAUGGAUUGUUCAUUGCUAAAAAUAUGGCAAGUUUUAUCAGGACAAUAAAAAAUGAAUCCUCUAAUAGAGCAAAUACCCAAGCAGCCAGUAUUAAUUAAAAUUAUAUUUAGUUGGAGCAAGGAACUAGCUGUGUUGGCUAUAAUUUCUUUCAAACUUGUUCUUGAGUCUGAGCAGGUGCAUUUGUUAGCCAAAAUACUGCAUGGUAAAGUUGCUCGUUGGGUGUAAGAGGACCCAAGGAAUAAAUGCUUUCGCGGGAGGAGAUGUCAGGAUAUUAAUGGAUCUUAAUCACAUGGACCUUGGGGAAGGUUGACAAGAACUAGCUUUUUUGAGUGCUCUGAUGGUUGGCCUUCCAUGGGAAACUUCUGCUUGCCCAUCAUUGCGCUUUUGUGGAGAGCCAUCAAACCAAACCAUGGUACUAGUUGAAUAUGCCAACAGAGCAAGCUUUAUUGGCAGACAAACUAGAUGCAUGCAUCCAUUAUUUCUGCCAUCUGACAGACGCUGGGAAGAAUAUUUAUAUGGUUGGAAAGCAACUGGAACCCUCGGCAUAAUUGUCAGAGAAAAGCUGCAUGAGUAAUCCCAUGAUGAGUUGAGCCAUGCUAUUUGGAGACUAUGACAUGAAAGAAUAGCAAAAAGA
rnacentral:lncRNA from 1 species